rnacentral:misc_RNA from 1 species
CGGGGCUCAAAUUCCACAAACUGCCAGCAACCAAAUUACAAACAAACAAUUUGUUGAUAAUUAUUAUUGUGAAAAGAACAGGAAAAUGUUGAGUUCAUAAUUUUGGGCAUAGGAUUGAUUUGGUGCCAUAAAUGGCCAAUAUGGUCAAUAGCCCCAGUAGUCAUUCCGGAUUUCAUCAUCGAACUUCUUCUUGAGCUCAGGAUGCUUUUCAAAGUACUCUUCAGCAGUCAUGGUGCUGAGCUUUUUCUUCAACUCUUGAACUUCGGCAAUUUCUUUCUCCAAACGUUCCGACUCCUUCAGGGAUUUCUCCUCUGCUUCUUUCAAUUCUACCAACAAUGCGUCAAAUUUAGGCUUGUACUGUGGAGUAACUGUGUCCACAUACUUUGGGACCUCUAUGCUGUCAUAAGCCUCUUUAUACAUAUCCACUAAGCGUGUGCCAACUGUUUUCCUAUAAUAUUCCCAGUCAAUAGGUUCAGGUUCCUGGCUGAAUUUGGUCUGAAGAGUGGAAUUAACCUCAUCGAAAGCGCGACGAAGUGAGGCGAACUCCUUGCGCGCCUCGUCGGAGACGAUAAGCUUCGCCAUCCCUUCCCAAUCAAUAGUCUUUGAUGCUUUAAAUGCCACAUCUGUCACCUUCUUUAUGGUUCCGCUCAUUUUCACUCGCUUUCCCUCACUUUCACAGCAGCCAAACAAAAUUUU